UACGGGGGGGGCAAGCGUUGUUCGGAAUUACUGGGCGUAAAGGGCGCGUAGGCGGUUUGCUAAGUUGGAUGUGAAAACUCUGGGCUUAACCCAGAGCCUGCAUCCAAAACUGGCAGGCUAGAGUUUUGGAGGGGGAAGCGGAAUUCCUGGUGUAGCAGUGAAAUGCGUAGAUAUCAGGAGGAACACCGGUGGCGAAGGCGGCAUCCUGGACCAACACUGACACUGAGGAGCGAAAGCCAGGGGAGCAAACGGG
rnacentral:rRNA from 1 species